CUUACACUUAUGGGUCUUGAAGUCAAAGGAGCCCGCGGUGAUGCCGCCAGCACCUGGGGUUUGUCCGAGCCCCGCAGCUCCUCCGGCCCUGGAGCCUGGGCGCUGCUCGCUGGGAUCUCUGAUCCAGUCUCGCCUCUUUUUGUGUCCAUCCGCAGACAAAUACCUGUUACGUUCUAGGUGCUGAGGACACAGCGUGAGAGAGAAAAGGACAGACACCUCCUUCUUCCUGGAGCCUGGAUGGGGCCGACAGGCACGGGGGAAGCCUCAGCCACUGUCUACUCAGAUUUCCACACGCCACUGCCAAGUGGCCUCCUGUUCUCUGUGUCUGUGCCUCCUCUUCUACCUCUUAGAAGGACACCUGUCACUGGAUUUAGGGCCCUUCCAGGUACUCCAGGAUAAUAUCAUCUGCUGGAGAUCCCUACCUCGAUCACAACUGCGAAGACCCUAAUUCCAAGUGGCUGGACUUGCUCCCUGAUACCCCCAACCUGCAGACACGCGGCCUUGGAUUCAAGUGGGGCUGGGCUCCUCGGCCUCUGCCAGGCCACCCCACCCUCCCCCAGCUCCCAGCAGAGGCCAGCAGCCAAAACACUGCAGGCCAGCAGAGCUGGAGAUCAGCAGACCCCAGAGGUGUAGACCUCCCGGCUCCAGACCUGGUCCUCCCCGCCCCGCUGGUGGUGCGGCCUCAGGCCAGUCCACUGCCUCUCCGCGCCUUGCCCUUCUCGCCAGGACUCAGGCCCAGCCUUACGAGAGAGGGUAAAACCAGACAACAACGGCAGGUCCUCCACCUGCACCUGGCCCCUCGGACUCCACCUACACCCGGCCCCUCGGAGGUGCCCAAUAAACUCCGGUGCUGACGGUUGUGCCUGA